AUUUAUAAUUUUUGAAUAUUUAUGCGGAAUUGGUUUCAAAUAAAGCUAAAUGGAGAACAAUGAUCUAUAUAGCUAACCCUAACUAGUUUGAAAUUCAAAUUCCUCAUCAUAUAGCCAUAUAGAAAUGCACACACAUGAUAUUCCUGCUUCUAAGUAUGACAUUUGUAGUUUCACUUUCACAAUUUCACUUAUCAGGUAAAACUUUUCUUUCAUUGAACUAUGGUGUUUCCACUUUCCACGCUGUAUAUUAUCUUCAAAUUAGUAGAAUUUCUAUCACCUAUUUUUUCUUCUAGAUACCAAGGAAACCAAAGUAAACUACAACUAGAUUAUUGUAUCUUUAGUUGUUGAUGGCUUUAGUGAUCAAGAGAGACAGAGAGAGAGA
rnacentral:misc_RNA from 1 species